UACGUAGGGGGCAAGCGUUGUCCGGAAUUAUUGGGCGUAAAGGGCUCGUAGGCGGUUCGUCACGUCGGGAGUGAAAACUCGGAGCUUAACUCCGAGCCUGCUUCCGAUACGGGCAGACUAGAGGUAGGCAGGGGAGAGCGGAACUCCUGGUGUAGCGGUGGAAUGCGCAGAUAUCAGGAAGAACACCCGUGGCGAAGGCGGCUCUCUGGAACGCAACUGACGCUGAGACGCGAAAGCGUGGGGAGCAAACAGG
rnacentral:rRNA from 1 species